GGUCUCCGUUGGUGAACCAGCGGAGGGAUCAUUACCGAGUUUCAACUCCCAAACCCCUGUGAACAUACCUAUACGUUGCCUCGGCGGAUCAGCCCGCGCCCCGUAAAACGGGACGGCCCGCCCGAGGACCCCUAAACUCUGUUUUUAGUGGAACUUCUGAGUAAAACAAACAAAUAAAUCAAAACUUUCAACAACGGAUCUCUUGGUUCUGGCAUCGAUGAAGAACGCAGCAAAAUGCGAUAAGUAAUGUGAAUUGCAGAAUUCAGUGAAUCAUCGAAUCUUUGAACGCACAUUGCGCCCGCCAGUAUUCUGGCGGGCAUGCCUGUUCGAGCGUCAUUUCAACCCUCAAGCUCAGCUUGGUGUUGGGACUCGCGGUAACCCGCGUUCCCCAAAUCGAUUGGCGGUCACGUCGAGCUUCCAUAGCGUAGUAAUCAUACACCUCGUUACUGGUAAUCGUCGCGGCCACGCCGUAAAACCCCAACUUCUGAAUGUUGACCUCGGAUCAGGUAGGAAUACCCGCUGAACUUAAGCAU
rnacentral:rRNA from 1 species